rnacentral:rRNA from 1 species
AGUGAACGCUGGCGGUAGGCUUAACACAUGCAAGUCGAACGGCAGCACAGGAGAGCUUGCUCUCUGGGUGGCGAGUGGCGGACGGGUGGGGAAUACAUCGGAAUCUACUCUGUCGUGGGGGAUAACGUAGGGAAACUUACGCUAAUACCGCAUACGACCUACGGGUGAAAGCAGGGGAUCUUCGGACCUUGCGCGAUUGAAUGAGCCGAUGUCGGAUUAGCUAGUUGGCGGGGUAAAGGCCCACCAAGGCGACGAUCCGUAGCUGGUCUGAGAGGAUGAUCAGCCACACUGGAACUGAGACACGGUCCAGACUCCUACGGGAGGCAGCAGUGGGGAAUAUUGGACAAUGGGCGCAAGCCUGAUCCAGCCAUACCGCGUGGGUGAAGAAGGCCUUCGGGUUGUAAAGCCCUUUUGUUGGGAAAGAAAUCCAGCUGGCUAAUACCCGGUUGGGAUGACGGUACCCAAAGAAUAAGCACCGGCUAACUUCGUGCCAGCCGCCGCGGUAA